rnacentral:lncRNA from 1 species
GGUUGUCAGUUUGGGGUAAUGUCAGUUUAGUGUCAGGUUGGGGUAAUGUCCGGUUUAUAGAUUAUUCAGUUUAGAGUAAUGUCAGGUUGGGGUAAUGUCAGGUUAGUGUCAGGUGGGGGUAAUGUCAGGUUGAGGGUCAGGUUAGUGUCGGUUGGGGUAAUGGCUGGUUAGGGUCAGGUUAGUGUCAGGUUGGGGUAAUGUCAGGUUGGGGUAAUGUCAGGUUAGGGUCAGGUUAGUGUCAGGUUGGUAAUGUCAGGUUAAUGUCAGGUUAGUUUCAGGUUAGAGUAAUGUCAGGUUAGGGUCAGGUUAAUGUCAGGUUGGGGUAAUGUCAGGGUAGGUCAGUGUCGGUUGGGGUCAGGUUAGGGUCAGGUUAGUGUCAGGUUGGGGUAAUGUCAGGUUAGUGUCAGGUUGGGGUAAUGUCAGGUUUGGUCAGGUUAGUUCAGUUAGGGUAAUGUCAGGUUAGGGUAAUGUCAGGUUGGGGUAAUAUCAGGUUAGGUUCCAGGUUAGUGUCAGGUUGGGGUAAUGUCAGGUUAAUGUCAGGUUAGUGUCCAGGUUAGGAUAUGUCAGGUUAGGUCAGGUUAGGGUCAGUGUCAGGUUAGAGUAAUGUCAGGUUAGGGUCAGGUUGGGGUAAUGGCCAGGUUAGUGUCAGGUUGGGGAAUGCAGUUAGGGUCAGGUUAGGGUCAGUGUCAGGUUAGAGU